rnacentral:tRNA from 6 species
CCCGGAUAGCUCAGUCGGUAGAGCAGGGGAUUGAAAAUCCCCGUGUCCUUGGUUCGAUUCCGAGUCCGGG